GGAAGCGUGGCCGAGUGGUUGAAGGCGCACGACUCGAAAUCGUGUGGGCAGCAAUGUCUCGUAGGUUCGAAUCCUAUCGCUUCCGCCA
rnacentral:tRNA from 1 species